GACGAACGCUGGCGGCGUGCUUAACACAUGCAAGUCGAACGGAAAGGCCCUGCUUUUGUGGGGUGCUCGAGUGGCGAACGGGUGAGUAACACGUGAGUAACCUGCCCUUGACUUUGGGAUAACUUCAGGAAACUGGGGCUAAUACCGGAUAGGAGCUCCUGCUGCAUGGUGGGGGUUGGAAAGUUUCGGCGGUUGGGGAUGGACUCGCGGCUUAUCAGCUUGUUGGUGGGGUAGUGGCUUACCAAGGCUUUGACGGGUAGCCGGCCUGAGAGGGUGACCGGCCACAUUGGGACUGAGAUACGGCCCAGACUCCUACGGGAGGCAGCAGUGGGGAAUAUUGCACAAUGGGCGGAAGCCUGAUGCAGCAACGCCGCGUGCGGGAUGACGGCCUUCGGGCUGUAAACCGCUUUCGCCUGUGACGAAGCGUGAGUGACGGUAAUGGGUAAAGAAGCACCGGCUAACUACGUGCCAGCAGCCGCGGUGAUACGUAGGGUGCGAGCGUUGUCCGGAUUUAUUGGGCGUAAAGGGCUCGUAGGUGGUUGAUCGCGUCGGAAGUGUAAUCUUGGGGCUUAACCCUGAGCGUGCUUUCGAUACGGGUUGACUUGAGGAAGGUAGGGGAGAAUGGAAUUCCUGAUGGAGCGGUGGAAUGCGCAGAUAUCAGGAGGAACACCAGUGGCGAAGGCGGUUCUCUGGGCCUUUCCUGACGCUGAGGAGCGAAAGCGUGGGGAGCGAACAGGCUUAGAUACCCUGGUAGUCCACGCUGUAAACGGUGGGUACUAGGUGUGGGGUCCAUUCCACGGGUUCCGUGCCGUAGCUAACGCUUUAAGUACCCCGCCUGGGGAGUACGGCCGCAAGGCUAAAACUCAAAGGAAUUGACGGGGCCCCGCACAAGCGGCGGAGCAUGCGGAUUAAUUCGAUGCAACGCGUAGAACCUUACCUGGGUUUGACAUGGAUCGGGAGCGCUCAGAGAUGGGUGUGCCUCUUUUGGGGUCGGUUCACAGGUGGUGCAUGGCUGUCGUCAGCUCGUGUCGUGAGAUGUUGGGUUAAGUCCCGCAACGAGCGCAACCCUUGUUCACUGUUGCCAGCACGUUAUGGUGGGGACUCAGUGGAGACCGCCGGGGUCAACUCGGAGGAAGGUGGGGAUGACGUCAAGUCAUCAUGCCCCUUAUGUCCAGGGCUUCACGCAUGCUACAAUGGCUGGUACAGAGAGUGGCGAGCCUGUGAGGGUGAGCGAAUCUCGGAAAGCCGGUCUCAGUUCGGAUUGGGGUCUGCAACUCGACCUCAUGAAGUCGGAGUCGCUAGUAAUCGCAGAUCAGCAACGCUGCGGUGAAUACGUUCCCGGG
rnacentral:rRNA from 1 species